rnacentral:rRNA from 1 species
AGAACGAACGCCGGCGGCAUGCCUAACACAUGCAAGUCGAACGUGAUCCAGGCUUCGGCCUGGUGAAAGUGGCAGACGGGUGAGUAACGCGUGGGAACCUGCCCUGUGGUAGGGAAUAACCGUGGGAAACUGCGGCUAAUACCCUAUGAGUCCUUCGGGAGAAAGAUUUAUCGCCAUAGGAGGGGCCCGCGUCGGAUUAGGUAGUUGGUGGGGUAACGGCCUACCAAGCCUUCGAUCCGUAGCUGGUCUGAGAGGAUGAUCAGCCACACUGGGACUGAGAUACGGCCCAGACUCCUACGGGAGGCAGCAGUGGGGAAUAUUGGACAAUGGGGGCAACCCUGAUCCAGCAAUGCCGCGUGGAUGAUGAAGGCCUUCGGGUUGUAAAGUCCUUUCGGCGGGGAAGAUGAUGACGGUACCGCAGAAGAAGCCCGGCUAACUUCGCGCCAGCAGCCGC